rnacentral:rRNA from 1 species
AUUGAACGCUGGCGGCAGGCCUAACACAUGCAAGUCGAACGAGUGGCGGACGGGUGAGUAAUGUCUGGGAAACUGCCCGAUGGAGGGGGAUAACUACUGGAAACGGUAGCUAAUACCGCAUACCAUCAGAUGUGCCCAGAUGGGAUUAGCUAGUUGGUGGGGUAACGGCUCACCAAGGCGACGAUCCCUAGCUGGUCUGAGAGGAUGACCAGGCACCCUGGAACUGAGACACGGACCAGACUCCGACGGGAGGCAGCAGUGGGGAAUAUUUCGCAAUGGGCGCGAACCUGAUGCAGCCAUGCCGCGUGUAUGAAGAAGGCCUUCGGGUUGUAGAGUACUUUCAGCGGGGAGGCGUUACCCGCAGAAGAAGCACCGGCUAACUCCGUGCCAGCAGCCGCGGUAAUAC